rnacentral:miRNA from 1 species
AGAUAAAGACGUAGGCACCAAAGCAUCCAGGACUAGGAUGCUUUGGUGCCUACGUCU